AAUCUAAAUCCAUGCAGAAAAUUAAAUCUCCCAAGUCUUCUUUUAUUGUCAUGAUAGAAUUGUAUCUUGAUGUUCAACAUUCCACUUGACUUUAUUAUAGAUCUAGAGUAAAAUGAAGCACAGACAGAAAAUGUAUCAUAUUUUGCUCCAUCGAUGGUUGUUUUUAACAGAUGUUUAACAAAGGCUCUGCUCAAGCAUUGAAGAUCUGUUAUGACAGUCAAACCUUCAUAUCGUCCUUUUGCCUCAUCACUCACUAUGGUUUCAGAAACCAGGAAAACCCAUCAGGAGCACUGUGCCCAAACUCUGAGAUGGAUGAACAGUGAGUGUGUCUUGAAGCCGGCCCCUCCAGUGUGGUGUGGCUGUCCUCAAACUCUUCCCACCAAGGGCCUUUGGAACUGAGAAGUGGCUGAGUCUACGCAAGGGUGUAAAACGGCUCCAAGUGCAAGGAGAGGAGAAGUGCCGUGGCCGGGAACCAGGGGCUUGAUGAAAUAGGUCCCUGCAAUAUUGAUUGUGAGCCUCUUUCACCAUCUUGGCAAGGGGAUAUUGGAUACAUGCAUCGUGCAAGACGGAUGCCAGCUCAUCUCAUGUACACCCAGAAGCUGUGCCAUCAACGUCAGGCGUG